AACCACUGGUUCUUUUCUGUCUGUAUUUCAGUACCUUUUGUAUAUGAUAGUAUUUUAUGGCCAAUGAACUGAUAACGUAUGUGGAUCCUUAUUAUUGGCCACUUGCCUGAAAUUCUGUAGCAAUAAGCAAAAGACAGAAGCUUAGAAGGGUUUACUCAGAACAUACUGUGGAGCCAUGUUUUGGCUUCAUUCAAACAAAAAAACUACUUAAAUCUGUUUUCAUCCACUCUUAUCCAAAAAUAUAAAUGCAAGCUACGUUGGAUAUUGCAAAUCAGUAGCUCUCUAAAUAUGUAUAGCUUCUCUUUUUUUUUUUUGAGAAGGUAACAUAUUUGUAUAUAUAGAUAUAAAGUUGGACCUCCCACUUCAAAAUUGUGUGAGUCCCCCAUAAUUACAAAAUGCCAUGCAAAAUAUCUCUGCCAUCCUAUAUCUUCUUUACAAGGAAUUAGAACAUCGAAAAUUGAACCAUGAUCUUCUAAGCUUAUCCCUUUACACCAAAAGUAAAAAAAGAUGACACUUCAAUUUCAACUUCUGGAUGUUGCUAGUCUUCUCUGCAAAACAUCUUUGAUUUCUUUCCCAGAUUGUCCACCAAAUGCAAGCUGGGACAAUCCUCCAUCUCUUUUUGUUGCCAGUUGGGUGGCCUUCACCGUUCCAGCAAUUGAGAAAUUACGAGAUACUUCUUGGUGUUACCCAUUGUAUACCCCUUAAGUUUAAAAAUAUCCUCCAUAGCUGUGAAGUUCCCUUACAAUGUAAAAAAAAGAUGAAUAAUUGUCUUUGCCUCUUCUCCACAUAUGUAACAUCUAGAGUACAAGGGUAUUAUCCUCUCCUGGCAAGAUUUUCCUGUGUAAGAACUGCUCCUCUGGCCAGUAACCAAGUAAAACAUGCAACUUCGUAUGGAAUUUUAACCUUCCAUAUCAUUUUCCAUGGCCAACUCUCCAAAACAUAAUUAGAUGUGUUGAAUUUCCUAUUAGCUAAACUAACAGAGAAGUUCCCAGUUUUGUGUCCUUGCCAUAUCAACUGAUCCUAGUAAUCUGCUCCAGCAUUUUAUAUAAUUCAACCACUCUGCCCAUCUCCCAAUCAAAAAGGGAUCUUCUGAAGGUAAGGGUCCAGCCUUGAGGACUCCAUACCUCUCCAACUGUAGCUUGUUGUUGUUGAUUGAUCCUGUGAAUAUCAGGAAGAGAUUUACCAAAGCACCACUUCCCAACCAAUUGCCAUUCCAAAAAUAAAUCUUUAUACCAUUACCAAUUUUAAGAGUGGUUUUGGUGCUGAAUUCUGGCAAAGGAUUCCUUAUGGGCUUCCACAGACCAACUCCAUAAGGAAGGCUCAUUUACCAUGUUGGUGGUCUACUGUUCUUCUGUACUGUAUUUCUCCUAAUCACCUCCUUCCACAGUGAAUGCUCAUUUGAAGCAAACUUCCAUGGCCAUCUCAUCAUCAAGCUUCGGUUCUGUACCUUCUAAGCUCUUUUCCCCAAACCCCAAUCCUUCUUGCUGAUUACCAGUGAAUCCCAUUUGACAAGGUGAAUUUUUUUCUUUUCACUGUUUCCUUCCCAUAGAAAAUUUCUUCUAAAGGAAUCAAUUCUCUCGGCAACAGCCAGCAUUCACUGGAAUAGGGAAUAGAGACAUCAUGCAUGUUGGCAUAGCAUCCAGAACUGAGUUUAUUAGAAUAAGCCACACCCCAAUGAAAGGUACUGGCACUUCCAAUUGGCCAGUUUCUUCUCACAUUUUUCUAUAACUCCAUUCCAUAUCCUAUUUGAUUUGCUCCUUGUUCCCAACGGAAUCCCCAAGCAUACAGUUGGCAGUUCCCCAACUUUUCUAUACAAAAUAUUAGCCAAACUUGGGAUAUCAUUUACAUCUGGAUAUACAUUGCUUGUGUUCCAGCCAAUAUGUAAGCCUGAGAUAUCUUCAACCAGAAUGAAAAAAUCACCCUCAUCAUCAUCGACUGUUCUCUGUCAACUUCACAAAAUGCAAGAGAAUCAUCAGCAUACUGAAGUCCUUCCAUGGCUAUGAUGAAAAGGAAAAGAGAGCGAGGAUCUCCUUACCUUAAGCCUAUCUGGGAAGGAAAAAAACCAGCAGGAGUACCAUUUAUCAGUACUGAAAAUUUGACAGUGCUUAUGCAAAACUUUAUUUACCCAACCCAUCUUUCGCCAAAUCCCAUUUCCUCAUCACAUCCAGCAAGUAUUUCUUAUAUGUAUAUAUACUUCAGAGGCUUGUAGAUUUUUGAUAUAUUUUCUAUAUCUUUUUCU